CCUAGCCCUCACCUCUCUCGCCAGAUACUGAGUCCACCAGUGUUUUGAUCUUGGACUUUCCCGCCUCCAGAACUGUGAGAAAUAAAUUUCUGCUAAGCCAUCCAUUUUCAUUAUAGCAGCCCGAGCAAGCUAAGACACCAGUCUUAUAAAUGUUUACGUGAGUACGAAGACCUCCUAGGACCUAGCACUUUAAGGACUUCACACUACUGCCUCUCCCAGUCUUGCCAUGAGAGUCCUCGAUGGGUACACAGCAGCAUUGAUAUCAGAAGCCAAACUAAAGGUGGUGGUUUGGAGCACCCACUGAGCCAGGCCCCUGUCCUAAGCAUUUUGCAUCUGUUAAUUCACUGACUCCUAUAAGGAGAGGAGACUGGCCCAGAGAGGCUCAGGGACUUGUUCCAGGUCACACAGCUGAAAGUGACAGAUUCUGUGAUUCCAAACACUGCCUGUGCCUUUAAGUACUCCACACGACUGCCUCUCCCAAACUUGCCACAAGGCAGCCAGGGUGAGUUCCCUAUACCCACUCACUACCUCCAUCUCACCCCUCUUUCUGCUGUACAACCUUGCCGGGGAGGGGGGCAGGCGGCGGUCCUGCACGUGUUAAGAGAGGGCGUAGACAGGCACCAGGUGCCAGAGGACCUGACCUCACUGCAGUUCUCUGCCUCUAUUAGCCCAGGGCCCCUGCAGUCAGGAGGAGGCUAUUUGCAGGCCCUUGGCCCAGGCCUGGCCUCUCCUCACCCCUCCCCACCAUCCUUCUCUUUCUCUGGGCUGCUGUCCUGCCCAGGGCAGGUGGCAACCUGGCUGGUUGCUUCCCAGGAGGAAGCCUCACGACUGUUCAGCCAAGAAGGAAAGAGGAGACUAAGAUGGACCCAACAUCUAGAGAAGAGAAGGUGGAAGCAGAGGCAGAAGUGAGAAGUGGGAAGCAGCAAGUGGGAAGGGAAGCCCAGCUUUCCAGUUCUGGCAGUGCAGAGCACUAGAACAGUAGACGGAGCUUUUACAAAUGAAACGCCUGAACCUUACCGUAGCCAAUCAAAUUGGAAUUUCUGGGAGUAGAGCUGGGUACGAGUGUUUUUGGAAACACCCCGGAUGAGUGUGAUGUUCCACGAAGGUCAAGAACCACCAUUUAAGAGCAGUGGUUCUCAAACUUUGGCGUGCCUCUGAACCCCCUGAAGAGUUUGGUAAAUACAGGACGCCAGACCCCACCUGCAGAGUCUCCCACCCAGCAGGUCUGAAUGGGGCCUAUAUUCAUUUCCUGUGGCUGCUGUAACAAAUCACCACAAACUCGGUGGCUUAACCAACAGAAAUCUAUUCUCUUACAAUUCUGGAGGUAUGAAAUUAAAAAUGAGUCUCACUGGGCUACCAUCAAGGUGUUGGCUGUGUUCCUUCUAGAGGCUCAGGGAGAAUCUGUUUCCUUGCUUGCCCCCUCUUCUAGAGGCCACCUGCACUUAAAAGCUUUUUCCCACUUUGGUGUCUUGAUUCUUUUUUUUUUUUUUUUGAGACAGAGUCUUACUCUGUCACCUAGGCUGGAGUGUAGUGGUGCAAUCUCAGCUCACUAUAACCUCUGCCUCCCAGGUUCAAGC
rnacentral:lncRNA from 10 species